GAUGAACGCUGGCGGCGUGCCUAAUACAUGCAAGUCGAGCGAAUGGAUUAAGAGCUUGCUCUUAUGAAGUUAGCGGCGGACGGGUGAGUAACACGUGGGUAACCUGCCCAUAAGACUGGGAUAACUCCGGGAAACCGGGGCUAAUACCGGAUAACAUUUUGAACCGCAUGGUUCGAAAUUGAAAGGCGGCUUCGGCUGUCACUUAUGGAUGGACCCGCGUCGCCUUAGCUAGUUGGUGAGGUAACGGCUCACCAAGGCAACGAUGCGUAGCCGACCUGAGAGGGUGAUCGGCCACACUGGGACUGAGACACGGCCCAGACUCCUACGGGAGGCAGCAGUAGGGGAUCUUCCGCAAUGGACGAAAGUCUGACGGAGCAACGCCGCGUGAGUGAUGAAGGCUUUCGGGUCGUAAAACUCUGUUGUUAGGGAAGAACAAGUGCUAGUUGAAUAAGCUGACACCUUGACGGUACCUAACCAGAAAGCCACGGCUAACUACGUGCCAGCCGCCGCAGUAA
rnacentral:rRNA from 1 species